rnacentral:rRNA from 1 species
UACGUAGGGGGCAAGCGUUGUCCGGAUUUAUUGGGCGUAAAGAGCGUGUAGGCGGCUUGGUAGGUCCGCUGUGAAAACUCGAGGCUCAACCUCGAGAUGUCGGCGGAAACCACUUGGCUAGAGUCCGGAAGAGGAGAGUGGAAUUCCUGGUGUGAGCGGUGAAAUGCGCAGAUAUACAGGAAGAACACCUAUGGCGAAGGCAGCUCUCUGGGACGGUACUGACGCUGAGACGCGAAAGCGUGGGAGCGAACAGG